rnacentral:rRNA from 1 species
AUACGGAGGAUCCGAGCGUUAUCCGGAUUUAUUGGGUUUAAAGGGUGCGCAGGCGGCCAUUUAAGUCAGCGGUUAAAUCGUGGGGCUCAACCCCAUUCUGCCGUUGAUACUGGGUGGCUUGAUUGCGGUCGAGGUUGGCGGAAUUCGUUGUGUAGCGGUGAAAUGCAUAGAUAUGACGAAGAACACCGAUUGCGUAGGCAGCUGAACAGAUCGCAAAUGACGCUCAUGCACGAAAGUGCGGGGAUCGAACAGGAUUAGAUACCCUGGUAGUCCGCACAGUAAACGAUGAAUACUUGUUUUCGGCGAUAUAAUGUCGGAGGCAAAGCGAAAGCGAUAAGUAUUCCACCUGGGGAGUACGCCGGCAACGGUGAAACUCAAAUGAAUUGGCGGGG